GACGAACGCUGGCGGCAUGCCUAAUACAUGCAAGUCGAGCGAACAGAUGAAGUGCUUGCACUUCUGACGUUAGCGGCGAACGGGUGAGUAACACGUAAGGAAUCUACCUAUAAGCGGGGGAUAACAUUCGGAAACGGGUGCUAAUACCGCAUAAUAUCUUCUUCCGCAUGGAAGAAGAUUGAAAGACGGCUCUGCUGUCACUUAUAGAUGACCUUGCGGUGCAUUAGGUAGUUGGUGGGGUAAUGGCCUACCAAGACGAUGAUGCAUAGCCGACCUGGGAGGGUGAUCGGCCACAUUGGGACUGAGACACGGCCCAAACUCCUACGGGCGGCAGCAGUAGGGAAUCUUCCGCAAUGGGCGAAAGCCUGACGGAGCAAUGCCGCGUGAGUGAAGAAGGCCUUCGGGUCGUAAAACUCUGUUAUAAGAGAAGAACAAAUUGUAGAGUAACUGCUACAGUCUUGACGGUAUCUUAUCAGAAAGCCACGGCUAACUACGUGCCAGCAGCCGCCGUAA
rnacentral:rRNA from 1 species